CUUUUAAAGGAAACUAGCCCUCCACUGGCCUUAGGAGCCA
rnacentral:tRNA from 1 species